UCCUGAGUAGAGUGGCGCACGGGUGAGUAACACGUGGAUAAUCUACCUUUGAAUCCGGGAUAACUGUUCGAAAGAAUCGCUAAUACCGGAUGAAGUCAUUGAGUCCUCGGACCCAAUGAUGAAAGACAGCCUCUUCUUGAAAGCUGUUGUUUGAAGAUGAGUCCGCGCACCAUUAGUUUGUUGGUGGGGUAACGGCCUACCAAGACAUCGAUGGUUAGCUGGUCUGAGAGGAUGAUCAGCCACACUGGAACUGACACACGGUCCAGACUCCUACGGGAGGCAGCAGUGAGGAAUUUUGCGCAAUGGGGGCAACCCUGACGCAGCAACGCCGCGUGAGUGAAGAAGGCCCUUGGGUCGUAAAACUCUGUCAAUGGGGAAGAAGUUACUUCAUAUUAAUAGUAUGUUGUAUUGACGGUACCCAUGAAGGAAGCACCGGCUAACUCCGUGCCAGCAGCCGCGGUAAUACGGGGGGUGCAAGCGUUAUUCGGAAUUAUUGGGCGUAAAGGGCACGCAGGCGGUCUUGCCAGUCAGAUGUGAAAGCCCGGGGCUCAACCCUGGAAGUGCAUUUGAAACUACAAGACUUGAGUACGGUAGAGGAAAGGGGAAUUCCUGGUGUAGAGGUGAAAUUCGUAGAUAUCAGGAGGAACACCGGUGGCGAA
rnacentral:rRNA from 1 species